GACGAACGCUGGCGGCGUGCUUAACACAUGCAAGUCGAACGCAGUGGGGAUGGGUGAGUAACACGUGGGUAACCUCCCAUCAGAGGGGAUAACACUUGGAAACAGGUGCUAAACCGAUAUGGAAGGAUGGACCCGCGGUGCAUUAGCCAGUUGGUGAGGUAACGGCCCACCAAGGCCACGAUGCAUAGCCGGCCUGAGAGGGUGAUCGGCCACACUGGAACUGAGACACGGCCCAGACUCCGACGGGAGGCAGAAGUGGGGAAUCUUCGGCAAUGGACGAAAGUCUGACCGAGCAACGCCGCGUGAGUGAAGAAGGUUUUCGGGUCGUAAAACUCUGUUGUUGGGGAAGCGGUAUCUGACCAGAAAGCCACGGCUAACUACGUGCCAGCAGCCGCGGUAAUAC
rnacentral:rRNA from 1 species